rnacentral:tRNA from 1 species
UAAGACCUGUGUAACACUACUACACAUCAACUGAACGCAAAUCAAACACUUUAAUUAAGCUAAGGCCUC